rnacentral:rRNA from 1 species
GUGUCAGCAGCCGCGGUAAGACAGAGGGUGCAAGCGUUAAUCGGAGUUACUGGGCGUAAAGGGCGCGUAGGCGGUUUUGUAAGUGAGAUGUGAAAGCCCUGGGCUUAACCUAGGAAUAGCAUUUUAGACUAUGAGACUGGAGUACAGUAGAGGGUGGUGGAAUUUCCGGUGUAGCGGUGAAAUGCGUAGAGAUCGGAAGGAACAUCAGUGGCGAAGGCGGCCACCUGGACUGACACUGACGCUGAGGCGCGAGAGCGUGGGGAGCAAACAGGAUUAGAAACCCCCGUAGUCC